rnacentral:lncRNA from 1 species
CCUCCGCCAGCCGCGCGCGCAGCCCCGCCACGCUGCAGCUGGAGCGACCGCGGCCGGCCACGCAGAUUGGGGGAGGGGCAGGCGGAGGCGGAGGAGAGGGCGGGAGGCGCGGGGAGGGGGCCGGAGCGAGGAGGAGGAGGAAAUAAAUAAAUAAAACAAUAACCUCCGCGCCAAUAAGAGCGAGGGAGAGAGAGAGACGCGGCCAGAGAGCCGCCGGUGCCUGUUCGCUCGCCUCUGAGAGGUCCUCCGCGCGCGCGCAUGUGUGUGCGUGCGUGUGUAUUUGCUGGGACUGGAGCUGGAAAGUUCAAACUAAACGUGUUGCUCUCGCCGGCUGCCGAGGCCGCGGACCGGGCUGCCCAACUUCUCUGGGCCAAGUGACUGGCGUUGCCCGGCGUUGCCCGGCGUUGCCCGGCGCCCUUGGCGCGGCGGCGGCCGCUCGGCCCUGCGCCCAGGCGCGGCGGCGGCGGCGGCGGCGGCGGCUGCGCUCGCCCCGGGAGGGAGCCCGCGGCCAGGGCUGGACCCGCGCCCCGCCAGCUCCAGCGACGCUCUCUGCUCAGCCUCCGCGCCUGGCGCCCGCGGAAAGCGGACACGGUUUUAAGCGGCGGCGGCGGCGGCGGGGACAGCGGCCUGGCCGGUGGCGGCAGCUGCAUCGUGUCCCGUCUGUGACCAGGCGCAGGAGGGGAGAGUGCGGCUGCCUGGUCCGAGAGCGCGACACUCGAGCUGCCUGCAAAGAUGCUGCGGCGGACAGAGCUUCGGGCCCCUUAACCGCUCGACUUGAAUGCAGUGAUCAUGUAAAUUAG